UACAGAGGGUGCAAGCGUUGUUCGGAUUUAUUGGGCGUAAAGAGCUCGUAGGCGGUUCGAUAAGUCGGACGUGAAAUCUCCACGCUCAACGUGGAGGGGCCGUUCGAUACUGUCGUGACUCGAGUCCGGUAGGGGAGUGUGGAAUUCCCGGUGUAGCGGUGAAAUGCGCAGAGAUCGGGAGGAACACCCGUAGCGAAGGCGGCACUCUGGGCCGGUACUGACGCUGAGGAGCGAAAGCGUGGGGAGCAAACAGG
rnacentral:rRNA from 1 species